rnacentral:rRNA from 1 species
ACGUAGGUGGCAAGCGUUGUCCGGAUUUAUUGGGUUUAAAGGGUGCGUAGGCGGUCCAUUAAGUCAGUUGUGAAAUACGGCAGCUUAACUGUCGAGGUGCAAUUGAUACUGGAGGACUUGAGUACAGACGAGGUAGGCGGAAUUGACGGUGUAGCGGUGAAAUGCAUAGAUAUCGUCAAGAACACCGAUAGCGAAGGCAGCUUACUAGACUGUAACUGACGCUGAGGCACGAAAGUGUGGGGAUCAAACAGGAUUAGAUACCCUGGUAGUCCACACUGUAAACGAUGAUUACUCGAUGUUGGCGAUACACAGCCAGCGUCUUAGCAAAAGCGAUAAGUAAUCCACCUGGGGAGUACGCCGGCAACGGUG